rnacentral:misc_RNA from 1 species
GUGAAUCAUCAAAUCUUUGAACGCAUAUUGCACUCUCUGGUAUUCCGGAGAGUAUUCCUGUUUGAGGGUAAUUAAAAAGAAUCUUUAACUAUUUUUUUUUUGGUCAAAGGUAAUGAGUUUUCCGCGUUUCUAGAGGUAGCUUGAAUUAAUUGGUCAAGUCUCAUUUUAGUUGAGACGCGUAAUGAUAUUAUUUCGCGAAAUCUUCAUUAUGUGACUAUCAAGUUUUGAUGCAUAAUAAUUUUGUUUGUAUGCGAUAUAUACAAAUAUUUUGAACAUUACCUCAAAUCAGGUUGGUGUACC